UCCCUGGAGGACUAGUGAUUAUGCCACAUCGCUCUCACCGCUGUCCACCGCGGCCCAGGUUCGAUUCCCAGCCAGGGAA